rnacentral:rRNA from 1 species
CCAGACUCCUACGGGAGGCAGCAGUGGGGGAUAUUGCACAAUGGGGGAAACCCUGAUGCAGCGACGCCGCGUGUGGGAAGACGGUCUUCUGGAUUGUAAACCACUGUCCCCAGGGACGAAAAUGACGGUACCUGGGGAGGAAGCUCCGGCUAACUACGUGCCAGCAGCCGCGGUAAUACGUAGGGAGCAAGCGUUGUCCGGAAUUACUGGGUGUAAAGGGAGCGUAGGCGGGGAUGCAAGUUGGGUGUCAAAACUACCGGCUCAACCGAUAGUCGCACUCAAAACUGCAGCUCUUGAGUGAAGUAGAGGCAGGCGGAAUUCCUAGUGUAGCGGUGAAAUGCGUAGAUAUUAGGAGGAACACCAGUGGCGAAGGCGGCUUUCUGGACUGAAACUGACGCUGAGGCACGAAAGCGUGGGGAGCGAACAGGAUUAGAUACCCCAGUA